UUAAUACAAUGGAGGCUGGAGAGCAACUUGGAUUAGACUCGGAUUAGAGAGACAAACCACGAGCCAUGAGCUAGGUCUAGGCCACUGAGAAGAGCAGGAGGCUCUGUAGUAUAAAUUGAGGUGUACAUGAGGAGGACGUUUGAGCCGAUUCCGACGAAUAUUUUUCAAGUUAUGAGCUUCAGAAAUGAGAGAUGGUCAGAUCAGUGGUAAGAAAUAAUACUGACUGUAAGGGAUGAAGCCAAGCUAGGAAAGUUUUGUAUUUGUAUAGGUUGUUAGCAUUGGACUGGACAAGUUUUAUAGUAUAUUAAAAGAAGGCUUUUGACAGAUUUGUGCACAUGUACAUGCAUUUGUUCGCCUCACUAUCAUAAUUCCUCCUUUAUCUCUCUCUCUCUCCCAUUUUGCCUUUUACAUUAUACAUAUGCUUAUAAUGUACACCUGUUUCAUUUUGAUAACUAAUAUACAUGUAUUUCUUUCUUCCAGGAUGAAUAUGAGUUUCAAAUACUAGAGUUUCUUGGUUCCUUUGGCGUUUAAGCAAACUCCAGCUAAUGAAAGUGAACUAUAAUGUCUAAUAAUUUAUUUACCUAAUUACUCGUGUUCAAUACAUGAUUAUUAUUUUGAUUAUUUUUAGCACUUCUCUGACUGUUCUUAAUGUGCAUGUGUAGAUUUUUAAACGACCUUUAUUUAUUGAUUGAAUAUCAUUGUUUACUGAUUUGGUGCAGUACAGAGUUCUGCAUUCCAAUAAUACUUGAUUUGUGGUAGUA